UGAGCCUCCAGGCAGCCCACAGUGUGGGCUGCCCAGACACUUGCCCAGGUUUCUGCUCUGUGGAGCAGGGAGUGGGACACAGGUUUCCAUGCUGCUGAUGUUCAGCCAGAGGACAGCCCCCACAGCAUCAGCUUUAAGGUUCUUCACUGGCACUGUUUUAGCCAAUUACCUCCAGCAGCCAAGCAGAAAUGGUAGAGCUGAUGAAGAAAAUCUCUUUGUGAGAACUGCUGCUGCUUCUGGAGUAAAGCUAACGUUUUUGUUCAUCCUUGAAGCUGAGGACACCCUGCUGUCCUGCUCUUGAGGUUGCAGAAAUCAAUUUUGCUUAAAUAAUGUGAGUCUUCCCUUCCCCCCUCACUCUGCUCUUAGGGUGCAGAGCAGGGAGGAUUGCAAACACAGAAUAGCAGAAUUUUAUUUUCCACAGUGAAGCUGCAAGGGUAGUUGGCAGCAGCAAGCCUCAGCCUUUGAUUUGUGAGCUGGAAACAGUUGCAAAAUCUGAAUUUCAGAAAUAAAAGGCUUGACCAUUUUUAGCCCCAGAGUUUGUUCCUCAGGGCUUGCAUGUGUUUCCCUCCCCAUCCGCCCAAGACAGAGUGGAAGGGAGCAGGGCUUCCCCAUCCCACCUGUAAAGAAUCCCCAGGCAGCAUCCUCCUCGGGCUCUGGACUGUGGAUGGGGCUGGGGGGAGAGGGGGAUUCCCAGAUUGCUGGCUUCCCUCAGAAAAGCUGCCACAGCUGAGAUCUUGUGCUUUAGCUGCCUGUACAGUUGCCAGAUCCAUUUAGUGCAUAAUUCAUUUUGCUCUCAGGGAUAUGCAAAGUAUUUCUAUGAAUGCCAGAUUAUGUAAACAAGGGUUUGAUUCUUUCUGUCUGUUCCAGGAUGGAAACGUUAAUAGAAGAGCUGGGGGACUUUGAAGUCAAGUACAAAUGCUGUCAUCUCACAAAUCUUCAGGAUGAAGAGCAGCUCUACUUUAGUCAGCCUAACUGCAUUAUCUCGUUGGACAACCUGGACUAGGUUUGGCCUGUGAAACCCUCUUUCAUCCUUGCCAUCAGCAGCAAUACAGAAAUGAAUGUGUCUUCCAAACCAGCAACGUACGGACCAGCUCAGAGAAAGCACUAAUGCUUUUGUGGGGAAAAGGAAAAUGAACAGUUUAUUUCUUAACGUAAAGCAGAGCCCUCUCUGGUUGUAUGUUAACAAGUAUUUGGCAGGAAUAAAAUUGUAAAGCAGAUGCCUAAAAGAAAAGAAUUAAA